rnacentral:tRNA from 1 species
GGACGGAUAGCUCAAUUGGCAGAGCAACCGCUUGAUAGGCGGACGGUUGUAGGUUCAACUCCUACUCCGUCCA